rnacentral:rRNA from 1 species
UGAUGCAUUCAACGAGCUAUCCUUGGCCGACAGGCCCGGGUAAUCUUUGAAACUGCAUCGUGAUGGGGAUAGAUUAUUGCAAUUAUAAUCUUCAACGAGGAAUGCCUAGUAAGCGCGAGUCAUCAGCUCGCGUGAUUACGUCCCUGCCCUUUGUACACACCGCCCGUCGCUCCUACCGAUUGGGUGUGCUGGUGAAGCGUUCGGAUUGGCGUUAGUGGGCGGUUUUCCGCCUCCUCUCGCUGAGAAGUUCGUUAAACCCUCCCACCUAGAGGAAGGAGAAGUCGUAACAAGGUUUCCGUAGGUGAACCUGCGGAAGGAUCAUUG